rnacentral:rRNA from 1 species
CUCGAGAGUGGCGAACGGGUGAGUAAUAUAUCGGAACGUGCCCAGUCGUGGGGGAUAACGUAGCGAAAGUUACGCUAAUACCGCAUACGAUCUAAGGAUGAAAGCGGGGGAUCGCAAGACCUCGCGCGAUUGGAGCGGCCGAUAUCGGAUUAGCUAGUUGGUGGGGUAAAGGCUCACCAAGGCGACGAUCCGUAGCUGGUUUGAGAGGACGACCAGCCACACUGGGACUGAGACACGGCCCAGACUCCUACGGGAGGCAGCAGUGGGGAAUUUUGGACAAUGGGGGCAACCCUGAUCCAGCCAUCCCGCGUGUGCGAUGAAGGCCUUCGGGUUGUAAAGCACUUUUGGCAGGAAAGAAAUCGCACGGGUUAAUACCUUGUGUGGAUGACGGUACCUGCAGAAUAAGCACCGGCUAACUACGUGCCAGCAGCCGCGGUAAUACGUAGGGUGCAAGCGUUAAUCGGAAUUACUGGGCGUAAAGCGUGCGCAGGCGGUUCGGAAAGAAAGGUGUGAAAUCCCAGGGCUUAACCUUGGA